GGGCAUCUAUGUAAAUCAUUUGGAGUUUUUGCCUUUCCUCUUAGAAGAAAAAUAUGAAUGAUUUGACUGAACAGGCCUAUAGCCAAACCCAAGAUGAUCUUUCCAAGCGUGAACUCCAUCUUCAAACUUCUAAUCUUAAACCUUAAAGAAGAAACUAUGGCAAUGUCUCUUCCACCACUCUUGACUAGCAUGAUGUGUUGCCAAAAGACUUCAGAUCAUAAGUGCGAAAUAAAAAAUCAAAAAUUGACUGCAUCUUUUCUCAUUGCUCAACAACUGUCAAACAACUGAGAAAUUUGUUUUGGAUGAAGCAGUAACAUUCCUUCUUCCACUCCCAGCCCCAUUCCACGUAGUCUGCAGUUCCUCACUGACCACUGAUUGAUGUCAACGUGCAAACUCUCAGACAGAAGACAAGAAAUAUGUCCUGGGUUUUCUGGUUCCUCAAGCUUCUGACUAGGACCAGAGCCAGCAAUUACACACACUUAUCCCUAUUCUUUCCAUGAAUGCAGAGAAAGAAAGACCUUCUUGGGCUGUAAGAAAUACUCUAUUCCUCACACAUAAUAACUAAGGCUCAGCAGCUUGUAAAAAGGCAUGGUCCAGGGCAUGUCAGGACAAGGAAGAGCGAGACUAACCAUACAAAAUGUCCUUGAGCCCGCAUAGACUCAGCUCACUCAUCAGAAUCCAACACAGUGUGAUUCAGCCAGAUUCCUCUGUACAAUAGACAUCCUGAACAGUCCCUGGGCUCCAACCCAUCAUCAAAGUCCCCUCUGUCAAAAACUUCACCUGUUGACUUUCAAAGACUAGGACAGGAUCAACUGUGUUCUACAGACUUGGAAAUAUGAUCGCAACGCAUUGCCUUCCCUGCAAAAUUUUUACAGUUGCUGCAGAGACAACAAAGGUGUGCCACAAAUGUUGAUGUAGGUGCAGGAAAUGAAAAGCACACAACUAAAAGAAAAAUGCAAAAGGCUUUCUUGAAAAGAAAAUCUGUAUGUGCUUUAUAAGUUUCAUCUGAAAGCCAAUGUUAACCUGCUGCUUUAUUUAACCCUCUGCUGAGCACUGCAUAUGGGACAUUGCAAACCGAUGUCAUUUGAGAUGUGUUAGGACCAUCACCUAGUGAUUACCUUCCUUAGAAGAUAAUAUUUUAUGUUAAAUAAACAAUGGUCUCCAGAGAAUACUUGUUUUUAGAAAGAAUUGGGAGAGAGCAGUGCAGUAAUCAAAAGGUGAAAGAGUCCAGAAAAUGAAUACAGUGUGUCAAAGUAUUAAUUAAAGUAUUUUCUCUCUUUCUGGAUGAGAUGAGUGGGGAAGAGAAGGGUUGUCAUUGGCCUUUAGUUUUUUGUUGCUGAGUAAGUGAAAAGAAAUGGAAAAUGAGAUUCUUCCAGUUUCAAACUGUUACAAUAUGGUGACUUACAUGCCCUACAGAGAAUUCCUGAAGGCACGAACCCAGUCACAAAUUGGCGCACAUCAGCAUUUUGCAUAAAAGGAAAGCAUCCAUAUCUGACUCAAGCAACAAUGAAAUCAAUACAGAAACAUUUCCAGAGAAGUCCUGCAGGUUUUUUAUGCAUUUAUAGCUAGUAUAUUGUGCAAAAAAUCUUCUGACUGUUUAAUAAAUCAACUUUAGAUCCACAAUUCCUAAACUUCCAUGAUUUUCUUUAUCAUCAGCUAGAGAGCACCCUGAAGAUAGGAAGUCACAUUUGUUUCCCCUACUGUUUCUAUCCUUAUUAGAUGGCUUAUCUCUCUGCUGGUUUUUUGAUAGGUUUGGAUACAGGAGUUAAAUUCAUAUCUUAUAGUCUCUCUACCACAGCCUCCUCCAAAGCUUGCAGAAUAUCGUGAAAAGAGUAUCUGGCAACUCCAGGGCCAAAACGCUGCCCUCAGCUCUCUGCCUCGGCCCAGACCUGUCUGUCAAUAGAAUUAUGCCCAUCCCUGGAAUUGUAUUUGAUUUUAUUUACCAUUGAAUAUCUGAGCUACCUGCUUGAGUUAAGUAAUUAUUUUAGGUAAUCCAAAAAACAUACCUAAAAUGAUUUUGCAAGUAUAUUUAAAAUAAUGUUUAUGUACCUUCAA
rnacentral:lncRNA from 1 species